CAAGGUACUGUAGUCUACCUCAACGCCUACAAGGUACUGUAGUCUACCUCAACACCUACAAGGUACUGUAGUCUACCUCAACACCUACAAGGUACUGUAGUCUACCUCAACA